rnacentral:rRNA from 1 species
GAUGAACGCUGACAGAAUGCUUAACACAUCAGCAAUUGAUUGGUGGCGGACGGGUGAGUAACGCGUAAAGAACUUGCCUCACAGCUAGGGACAACAUUUGGAAACUAAUGCUAAUACCUAAUACUGUGGGCGAGCUUUGCGUCCCGUUAGCUAGUUGGAGAGUUAACGGCGCACAAAGGAGAUGAUGGGUAGCCGGCCUGAGCGGGUGAUCGGCCACAAGGGGACUGAGACACGGCCCUUACUGCUACGGGAGGCAGCAGUGGUGAAUAAUGGACAAUGGACCAAAGUCUGAUCCAGGAAUUCUGUGUGCACGAUGAAGUUUUCGGAAUGUAAAGUGCUGUCAGUUGGGAAGCGGUACCAACAGAAGAAGUGACGGCUAAAUACGUGCCAGCAGCCGCGGUAAUAC